rnacentral:rRNA from 1 species
CAAGGUUUGAAACUCAAAGGAAUUGACGGGACCCCGCACAAGCGGUGGAUGAUGUGNUUUAAUUGGAUGCAACGCGAAAACCCUAACNUACCUUUUGACAUGUACGGGAAUUCGCCAGAGAUGGUUUAGUGCUCGAAAGAGAACCGUAACACAGNUGCUGCAUGGCUGUCGUCAGCUCGUGUCGUGAGAUGUUGGGUUAAGUCCCGCAACGAGCGCAACCCUCGUCCUAUGUUGCCAGCACGUAAUGGUGGGAACUCAUGGGAUACUGCCGGGGUCAACUCGGAGGAAGGUGGGGAUGACGUCAAAUCAUCAUGCCCCUUAUGUCUUGGGCUUCACGCAUGCUACAAUGGUCGGUACAAAGGGCUGCGAUACCGCAAGGUGGAGCGAAUCCCAAAAAGCCGGUCUCAGUUCGGAUUGAGGUCUGCAACUCGACCUCAUGAAGUCGGAGUCGCUAGUAAUCGCAGAUCAGCAACGCUGCGGUGAAUACGUUCCCGGGCCUUGUACACACCGCCCGUCAAGUCAUGAAAGUCGGUAACACCCGAAGCCGGUGGCCUAACCCGUAAGGGGAGGAGCUGUCGAAGGUGGGAUCGGUGAUUAGGACUAAGUCGUAACAAGGU